rnacentral:lncRNA from 1 species
UUUCAAGAGGAACUACAUUAAGCAAGUAUUUUCACAGCAGGUAGCUGUCCAAGGGAGAGAUUGCUGAAGCUUGGUGGCGGUGAUGGUUGUGCAUUGGCAGUGAAGGUCCAGAAGUUUCUCCAGUUCUUAAGAGAGAGGAAUCCCUGGCUCAAGAGAAUGGAGUCACUUGCCCAGGGUCAUCCAACUGAGCUGGUGCCCUUUGCACUCCCCAAGCUGCUUCUCUCUGGGUUUGGUAAAGGUUUUUUGUCUUUACGAGAAACAGAAGGAGGAACGUGCCGUGACGAGAGAAGGCUGAAUGUUUGCUGCCUCUGGAGGAAGUGAGAGCUGCUCAAAGGUGGUGACCACGGUAGAACAAAGGCAGUCAAGGGUGCAAGGAUAUUAGAAGCUGUGUUCUGUGAGCUUUCAUGAAGGCUGUGGAAGGAUCCAGGCAGGAUGGCCUCAAAUUAAGAUUUUAAUGACUCUUUGGUUUAGAAAACACACUCUUGCUGUUAACGCUAUCUUAUCAGGUAUCAUUUUUGAAUUCACAGAUGAAAGUUAAAAAAUUCAUAAUUAUACAAAUACUUGCCUUGUAUGUUUGCCUGUGUGUGUCUGUUAAGGAACAAAUGCAUAGUGCCUACAGGAAGUAAGGGCAAAAUAAUUUCAAGGACUGGGAGUUUCCGGAAUUACCUAUGGCAAAGGAAAUUGUGUGCUGCAUUUUGACAAGGUUAAAAGUAUCUACACCCAAAUAGUGACUCAAGGAGAGUAUGGGCGCCACAAGACCUUGUGAGUUUCAAACGUACAUUUAAAUGUUAUUCUUUGGGGGUUAAAAUGUUUUAUUUACAAAUGAACAAAGGUUGAUUGAUCUUGAUAAACAGGACCCCAGGUGAUCAAAAUUUCUGGCAGUAACCAUCAUUUGGUCAGUGUUUGAUCUUCGGUAAUAGAAGUAAGUAAAGUUUUGAUGUUGAUGGUGAUGAUGUGGGGUGGUUUUAGACACAAACACAUUUUUUUCACUCCUCCUAUCACGUUGACAAAAAUAACACUAAGUAAAUGCCGUCAGCUUUCUAUGACAUGCAAUUUUUCAACCAAGCAAAAUACAAUGUACCUAGGACCUCAAAGAAAUGUAAUAAUCUCAGUAUUCUUGUGAUUUGUUAGACGUUUUCCACAAACACCUACAGAAACUAUAUAUGUUUGCCUGGAGAUUUAAGGUAACAGGCUUAUAUUCGCAACAAGAUGAAUUUUUUAUUAGAUGUUAGGCAGACACAUUGUGCUGAUGCUAGAAAGUGUUUCUGAGAGAGUAUAUGCAGAAUGUCUUCUAUGGACAUUGUCAAGACCUAUUUAAAUACCUACAUCUAUUUGUAAAACUUUCUGCAUAGAUCUGUAGGAGGAGGCUAGUGAAUGAACUUUAUGAACUGGGAAGAUUCUACUAACUUUGGAUAUUCCAAAAUAAUGCAGCCGUCCAUUUAAAGUACACUAAAAUGGCACCUUUAAGGAGCAGGGGUGGUGAUGACUGGCAACUAUCAUAGGUUUGGCAGCAACAUUUUUAGACCUACAAACACGGUUGUAAAGCUGUGUUAUCCCUGUAGGAAACUGUUCUUUUGAAUGUCCAUUUUUUUUUUCUCCAGAAAAGAAACGUAGGGACUUGUCUUUAAGAUAAAACUAUAAUAAGAACCUUUAAGUUCAACUAUAUGAGGUUUAGCCUGACUUAGAAGUUUAAUAUUUAGCUUGGUUAAUUAAAUCUCAUUCUUUGCCCUGAAUUUAAUUAUUCCAACUAAUGUGGUAACUUAAUAUAAUAAUAAAAAAGAGGUUAAUUAGAAAUAGAAGAGAAUCUGACUAUUUGUUCAUCUGGCUCAGUGGGGGCAUUUCAUGAAGUGUCAGUUUAUGGAUGGCAAUGUUUUAUAGAGUAUAAAUUUUCAGUUAGUGAGGAAAUGAAAAUGAAAGACAGUAGAUAAUCAGUGAGUGAUUGUAUCAGGAAAUCACUAAAAAGCUAAUCUGUAAAGUUCAGGGCAUAUUUUAAUGUGACUUCAUGAUAAUGUAGGCAGUAUUUUUCUCCCUAGGUUGAGCUUAAAUCAUGUUCUUUAGACACAUUAUGAGUAAUUCCUUGUUUUGAGUUUCUAUUCAAAGGUAAGAAAGCCAAAUAUUUCCUACUUUUAAACAGAAAUGAGUGCUAAAAUAAAAAGAUGACCUUUCUUGCUUAGCUGUCACUUUCAAUACAAAUGGUCUGCUUUCUUAAUAUUUCUUAAUGCUCAAGUUCUGCGACCUUAAUGCUGAGGUGCUGUGCAGUGGAAUCAGACUUGGAUUCAAAUCCCAGCUGGAAAUUUGCUUAUGGUGUCAAGUUACUAUUCUUAUUGAGUCUCAGUCUUGUCAUCUGUGAAAUGAGGAUAAGGUUGUCUACACUCCUCGGGUUGCUGAGGAUAAAGUGAGAGAAUAUAGAGGAUACCAUACAGCCUGCCCGUUACAUAAUAGGUGCUCUGCAAAUGGUGGCUCCCUGUCCUCUGAACAAGUCACAAGCCUUCUUAUAAAUGAAUAACAGGUGCUAAUGUAUCAUAACACCAAAGGUAAGGCCAAGUGUUCUGGCUUAUGAACCAGGGCAGUGCUCCUUAAACUUGAAAGUACCAGUGAUUCAUUCACCUGGGGAUCUGGUUAAAUGCAGAUUCUACAUUUCUAACAAGCUCCCAGAUGAUGCUGAUACUGCUGGUUGGGGACCACCACACUUUUAAUAGCAUGGAACCAGAACAGUGACUUCUGAAUAUCGAGCUGACUUUAAGAGACUGGGCUAAGCUGUAAAAUAAAAUUUUACUCUGCCUUUUCUUUUCCCUGGUUUAAUGAUAAAAAUAUUGGGGAAAUCUG